AUGUGCUGCAGCGAGUGCGGCUGCUACGACGCAUUCUGCGACCGCUGCUGCCCCUGCGUCUCCUACGACGCGCGCGAGGCCAUCCUCUGCUGCGCCGCCUGCCUCGCCGUCCUCGCCGGCGCCGUCCUCCUGGCCGUGCUCCUCGCCGCCUACGGCUUCAUCCGCCACGCCGAAGUCAUCGUCCGGGACGCCUCCCUCACGCGCCUCGCGCUCGCCGUCUCCCCGGCCACCGCGUUCGCCUACAACCUCUCGCUCACGCUCACCGUCCGGAACAAGAACUGGGCCAUGAGCGUCAAGAACACCAAGCAGCUCGAGGCCCGCUACAGCUUCGACGGCCAGCUCUUCGAGCGGAUCAGGCUCGCCGAGGCGGGGUCCACGCAGCACGCCGGCGACACCCAGGUGUACCACCUCGUCUCCGGCGACGACGGCGGCUACGUCGCGCUCGGCAACGCCGGCGUGGCCGAGUUCAAGGCGGAGAACGCGACGGGGAUGUUCAAGGUGGAGGUGGCGGUGUCGGGCGAGGUCAGGUACCAGGCGCACUACACCAAGUGCAAGUUCGAGGCCAAAUGCCCGCUGGUGCUGCAGCUCGCGCCGCCGGGCACGCCGGCCGUCGUGUUCCAGGAGGUCAAGUGCAAGCCCGUCACAGCCGACAAGAACUGCUAG
rnacentral:rRNA from 1 species